GACGAACGCUGGCGGCGUGCCUAACACAUGCAAGUCAACUUGACUGAAGGAGCAAUCUGACAGUAGAGUGGCGCAAGGGUGCGUAACGCGUAAGUAACUUGCCCCAAGGUAAGGAAUAACGUCGAGAAAUCGGCGCUAAUACCUCAUAAUGCAGCGGAUCCGCAUGGAUAUGUUGUUAAAGGUUUACCGCCUUGGGAUAGGCUUGCGUCUGAUUAGCUAGUUGGUGUGGUAACGGCACACCAAGGCUACGAUCAGUAACUGGUCUGAGAGGAUGAUCAGUCACACUGGAACUGAGACACGGUCCAGACUCCUACGGGAGGCAGCAGUGAGGAAUAUUGGGCAAUGCUCGAAAGAGUAGACCCCAGCAACGCCGCGUGGAGGAUGAAGGUAUUACUAUAUCGUAACUACCUGUGAGAGCAGACGAAGACAGAUUA
rnacentral:rRNA from 1 species